CAUGCAAGUCGAGCGCCCCGCAAGGGGAGCGGCAGACGGGUGAGUAACGCGUGGGAAUCUACCCAUCUCUACGGAACAACUCCGGGAAACUGGAGCUAAUACCGUAUACGUCCUUUUGGAGAAAGAUUUAUCGGAGAUGGAUGAGCCCGCGUUGGAUUAGCUAGUUGGUGGGGUAAUGGCCUACCAAGGCGACGAUCCAUAGCUGGUCUGAGAGGAUGAUCAGCCACACUGGGACUGAGACACGGCCCAGACUCCUACGGGAGGCAGCAGUGGGGAAUAUUGGACAAUGGGCGAAAGCCUGAUCCAGCCAUGCCGCGUGAGUGAUGAAGGCCUUAGGGUUGUAAAGCUCUUUCAGUGGGGACGAUAAUGACGGUACCCACAGAAGAAGCCCCGGCUAACUUCGUGCCAGCAGCCGCGGUAAUACGAAGGGGGCUAGCGUUGUUCGGAUUUACUGGGCGUAAAGCGCACGUAGGCGGAUCGUUAAGUUGGGGGUGAAAUCCUGGAGCUCAACUCCAGAACUGCCUUCAAUACUGGCGAUCUAGAGUCCGGAAGAGGUGAGUGGAACUCCUAGUGUAGAGGUGGAAUUCGUAGAUAUUAGGAAGAACACCAGUGGCGAANGCGGCUCACUGGUCCGGUACUGACGCUGA
rnacentral:rRNA from 1 species